UAGAUCCUGUCCGUCCCUUUAGACACAACGAAUAUGAGAGAUUCAUACCAGCAGCAUAUCCCUAUUACGGAGCAGCAUUUUCAAUGAUGGCGGGUUUCUUCAUCUUCACUGAUGUUCAUCUAUACCACAAGUAGUUGUAAACCCUUUGAUCCAAGAUAAUGUAGUAUGUAGCACCAUAACGAUUGGAUUUGAAUGCUGAGAUUGAAAAUUUUGACUAGGAUAUAAAAUGCAAAUUUUUAAUUUAUUA